AUUGAACGCUGGCGGAAUGCUUUACACAUGCAAGUCGAACGGCAGCACGGACUUCGGUCUGGUGGCGAGUGGCGAACGGGUGAGUAAUGUAUCGGAACGUGCCCAGUCGUGGGGGAUAACGUAGUGAAAAUUACGCUAAUACCGCAUACGAUCUAUGGAUGAAAGCGGGGGAUCGCAAGACCUCGCGCGAUUGGAGCGGCCGAUAUCAGAUUAGGUAGUUGGUGGGGUAAAGGCCCACCAAGCCAACGAUCUGUAGCUGGUCUGAGAGGACGACCAGGCACACUGGAACUGAGACACGGUCCCGACUCCUACGGGAGGCAGCAGUGGGGAAUUUUGGACAAUGUGCGAAAGCCUGAUCCAGCCAUUCCGCAUGCAGGAUGAAGGCCCUCGGGUUGUAAACUGCUUUUGUACAGAACGAAAAGGUUUCUACUAAUACUAGGAGCUCAUGACGGUACUGUAAGAAUAAGCACCGGCUAACUACGUGCCAGCAGCCGCGGUAA
rnacentral:rRNA from 1 species